rnacentral:miRNA from 1 species
CCCUUGUUGCAAACCUCACGC